GCUCGCAUAGUGCAAUGGAAAGCAUGCUAGCCUCCGGAGCUAGUGAUCUGGGUUCGAGUCCCGGUGUGGGCU
rfam:Giardia lamblia ATCC 50803 SC_574 genomic scaffold, whole genome shotgun sequence.